GAAUUACUGGGCGUAAAGAGCUCGUAGGUGGUUUGUCGCGUCGUUUGUGUAAGCCCGCAGCUUAACUGCGGGACUGCAGGCGAUACGGGCAUAACUUGAGUGCUGUAGGGGAGACUGGAAUUCCUGGUGUAGCGGUGGAAUGCGCAGAUAUCAGGAGGAACACCGAUGGCGAAGGCAGAUCUCUGGGCCGUAACUGACGCUGAGGAGCGAAAGGGUGG
rnacentral:rRNA from 1 species